rnacentral:sRNA from 1 species
UUCAGCCACUUUGUGCUCACCACCUCUGGGGAAGGUGUGAGAGGAGAGAAGGAAGUGGCUGUUUGGCUGCUGACAAUAUGAAGACUUCCUGUGAUGAGAACAGAGGCACAGGUGCCGGCCCUGCAGCCCCCAGAACCCGGACUGGAGGGGGCCAUGGGGCGCCGGACCCUGGCCCUGCCCUGGGUGCUGCUGACCCUGCGUGUCACUGCGGGGACCCCGGAGGUGUGGGUGCAAGUUCGGAUGGAGGCCACCGAGCUCUCGUCCUUCACCAUCCGUUGUGGGUUCCUGGGGUCUGGCUCCAUCUCCCUGGUGACUGUGAGCUGGAGGGGCCCCGAUGGUGCUGGGGGGACCACGCUGGCUGUGUUGCACCCGGAACUUGGCAUCCGGCAAUGGGCCCCUGCUCGCCAGGCCCGCUGGGAAACCCAGAGCAGCGUCUCUCUUGCUCUGGAAGUCUCUGGGGCCAGCAGCCCCUGCGCCAACACCACCUUCUGCUGCAAGUUUGCGUCCUUCCCUGAGGGCUCCUGGGAGGGCUGUGGGAGCCUCCCGCCCAGCUCAGACCCAGGUGGGGCCGGGGUGAGGGGUCCAGGAGGGCAGGGAGGGGCUCGGGAACUGGCCACCCAUCUGAUUCUUGCCUCUGUGCCCAGGGCUCUCUGUCCCGCCGACUCCUGCCCCCAUUCUGCGGGCAGACCUGGCCGGGAUCUUGGGGGUCUCAGGAGUCCUUCUCUUUGACUGUGGCUACCUCCUUCAUCUGCUGUGCCGACAGAAGCACCGCCCUGCCCCUAGGCUCCAGCCAUUCCACACCAGCUCCCAGGCACUGAGAGCACGAGCAUGGGCACCCAGCCAGGACUCCCAGGCUGCUCUCCACGUCCCUUAUGCCACUGUCAACACCAGCUGCUGCCCAGCUACUUUGGACACAGCUCACCCCCGACGGGGGGCUGUCCUGGUGGGCAUCACUCCCCACCCACACUGCACACUGGCCCCAGGGCCCUGCUGCCUGGGCCUCCACAUCCAUCCCUGCACAUGGCAGCUUUGUCUCUGUUGAGAAUGGACUCUACGCUUAGGCUGGGGAGAGGCCUUCCUGCACUGGUCUUGGCCUCACUCUUUUCGCUGAUCCUUGGGGCCCAGGGCCAUGGAGGGACCCUUAGGAGUUCGAUGAGAGAGACCAUGAGGCCACUGGGCUUUCCCCUUCCCAGGCCUCCUGGGUGCCACCCCCUUACGUUAUUCUUGGGCCUCUAAUAAGUGUCCCACAGGUGCCUGGCCAGGCCCACCUGCUGUGGAUGUGGUCUGUGUGUGUGCAUGUGUGGGUGUGUGUGGGCACAGGUGUGAGUGUGUGAGCGACAGUACCCCAUUCCAGUCGUUUCCUGCUGUGACUAAGUCAGCAACACAGUUCCUCUGACAUGGGCCUUGGCUGUGCUUCUUUGGGGGUGAAGAGAUUGGGGAGGAAGUCUCCACCCCUGGGAGGCAGAAGCCAGGCAUAGGGCGCUGGCUAGGACUCCAGUACCAUGAAGGGAGGCAGUGAGAGCAGACAUCUGUGCCUCAUUCCUGAUCUCAAGGGGAAAGCAAGAACAGGGUGGGUGCCAAGGAGGGGCAAGGGGCUGGGGCAGGGAUAGACGUGGCUGGUGAGGAAAGGAGGAUAGUUGUUGGGGGAAGGUGGGGACAUACAAGCAGCGGUUCUCAAAAUGGGCAGGGUCCUGGCCCCCUCCCUGCCUCUGCUGAACACUGCAUCCCAUGCCUCUCCCAUGGCCACCUGCUGGGCUAACGGGCUGGAUUUAGACUCUGCCCAUGUUGGAAUCAUGCCCUCCUCCAGGGCCGGUGCCUCCCAAAACCCACCUCUGAGAGAGAGCCACAGCCCCAGGCUUAGCCCCAGGCCCUGUCACUGCUGUUGGGGGAGGGAGGAUGAACCACCCGGGAGGCCUCACACCAUUCCAGAGCAGAAAUCCUGACACAAAAGGAAUCUCCCAUGGGGGUUCAGCUGGGUCCAGAGCCCGGAAAGUGACAUAAACAUGCACCUUGCAUCUAAGGAGAAUGCACGUGGCGGUACCGGGCCUGAGGCCCCUGGGGAGUAUGUACCCUCCAGAGCUACCCAGAGGCUGUUGGCUAAAAGUUCUAUGUGGCCCCCUCCUCGGGCAGCCUGGUAAGCAGGUGACCUUCUAGCUGGGUCCCAUGGGCCACGGGCAAGGCAGGAAUGGAACGAAGAGUCAGUCCUCAGUGGCUGGGUGUUGUAUCCCAUGCCUAUAAUCCCAGCACUUUGGGAGGCUGAGGUGGGCAGAUCACUUGAGGCCAGGAGUUUGAGACCAGCCUGGCCAACAUGGUGAAACCCUGUCUCUACUAAAAAUACAAAAAUUAGCUGGGCGUGGUGGCACACACCUGUAAUUCUCAGCUACUUGGAAGGCUGAGGCAGGAGAAUUACUUGAACCCAGGAAGCAGAGGUUACCGUGAGCCAAGAUCACACCAUUGCACUCCAGCCUGGGCAACACAGCGAGAAUCCAUCUCAAAAAAAAAAAAAAGUCCUCAGGCAGGGUGGGCCACCCUCUUGAGGCCUUGCCCAAACAGCCAGGGGGUCCCUUGUCCUCUCUUCAGCCCACCUUUGCAGGUGGGACCAGUUCAGUCCAAAGCCCCGGUGCCUCAGUUUCCCUGUGGGUUGAACGAGGAGAAUGAGGUGUGUAGGGCCUGGCUCAGACGGAGGGGUUUCCUGAGCAUGGGGAGCCUGUUUCCUCAGACCUGUGAAGGGAAGGAGGGCGGAUCGGCCUGACUGGCCCUGGGAAGCACAGAGGAGCCUACUGGGACCAGGGAAGAGACUGACAAGAGAAGGGAGGCCUGUCCCUGCCUGCUUCUGUCUCAAGAAGAUUGAUAUCACUUUCUCUGGUGAAAUCGUGCCUUCCUGUCCCCACGGCCCCUCAGCUGAUGCCACCUUACCCUGGAGAGGAUGGGCAGAGCCUCCUAUGGAGGGAGCCCUGUGGGUCACCAAAGCUCCAGUGACCACCCCUGGGCAAAGACCAGCAGAUCCCCUGUUAGAGACGGGCCCAGGACUUUGUGCAGGGUGCCCACUGUUGCUCUGAGCCUUCACUUCCUCAGGGAGGCUUCCUCAGGAUCUCGAACCUGUGGAAGGAGGACCAGUCUGUGUACUUCUGCCAAGUCCAGCUGGACAUACAGAUCAGGGAGGCUGUCGUGGCAGUCCAUCAAGGGGACCCACCUCACCAUCACCCAGGGUAAGUCCAGCUGCCCUGGCACCAAGGAACCUUCUGGUUCAGCCAUAGGCUCAGGUGUGUGGAGGGAAUGACCUGAGGGGCUGUAUGAGGGAACAACCUCCUGGGGCUCCCCUAUGCCUGAGUUCCUGCAACUCAGAAGUUGAGGCCCAGAGAUCCAGGUAGAGGGGGCUCCAGUCCUGGAACUGCCCUGCAAGUCAUGUGGCCUGGGACAGGGCUUCUCCGAGCUCUGUCCCCUCCUGUGUAGGGCAGGGAGGUCAGAGGGGACCCUGCAGAUCCAGUCUCAUGUCUGGGGGUCAAGGGGUGGCCUCGAGAGGGACCAGUCUCUGUGUAGGGGACCGUCAGCCCCCUCACCCCUUGAGCAAGACUGUGGUCCCUGCACCAAGGGAGCAGGCCUGGGGUGGGAAGAGGCCAGCUGGGCUGUGGUGGUGCCUGGGGACUGCAUGGGAGCCCCUGCCAGGGAGGGAGAGGGACAGAGGACAAGCUGGGGGCUCUGGUGCUUGGGCUGGGGGCUGAGCGCCUGUGACCUCCACUGGCUUCCUCCUUCUCCUCUCUAAGGACUGAAUCUGGGGUGCAGCAGAGCACAGACUCAGGCCCGCCUUUCCUCUCCCUGAAAGAGCCUGCGCUGGCCUUGGACAGAGAAAGGGAUGAGAAGUGAGGCUGAGUGCAGUGGGGUCUGCAGGGAUCCAGGUGGGAGGGGCCCAGCCAGCCAAGAUGAGUCCCAGCCCCUCAGCAGGAAGACGGGCACUGGGGCCCUUAGGCCCCUGACUUGACACUUUUGUGUGACUUGACACUUUUGUGUGACUUGAGCCACCGUGCCCAGCCUGAACACCCUUUCCUGGUAAAACACUCCACAAACCAGGAAGAGAAGGAAUGUACUGCAACAAAAUAAAGGCCAGUCAUGCAAGGCCCAUGGCUGAAAGUCUUUCAGUCAUUUUAGGUGAAAGACUGAAAUCUUUGCCUCCAAGAUCAGGAACAAGAGAAGGAUGCCCGCUCUCACUACUUCUAUUCAACACAGGAUUUGAAGUCAGGCCGGGCACAGUGGCUCACGCCUGUAAUCCCAGCACUUUUGGAGGCUGAGGCGGGCAGAUUACUUGAGCCUAUGAGUGUGAGACCACCCUGGCCAACAUGGCAAAACCCCAUCUCUACU